CUUGGCUCACUGCAACCUCGGCCUCCCGGGUUUAAGCGAUUCUCCUGCCUCGGCCUCCCGAGUAGCUGAGAUUACAGGCGCAUGCCACCAUGCCUGGCUAAUUUUUGUAUUUUUAGUAGAGACGGGGUUUCACCAUGUUGGCCAGGCUGGUCUCGAACUCCUGACCUCUCAGGUGAUCCACCCACCUCGGCCUCCCAAAGUGCUGGCAUUACAGGUGUGAGCCACUGCGCCUGGCCUACUUACGCUCUUUAAAUUAUCUUGCUGUCAACUCCUCUUGGGGAUCCUUGGCCCCUUCCCUACCUACAGUGCCAGCCUGCUACUGCCUGGCCCCUUGGCACAGGGCCCAUCCUGCUCAGGACAGGUAGGACUGUCUCCAUCCUUGCACUUUUUUAAAGGAGAGACCAGCUUAAUGUGCUUGCAGAUUUCCUGGGAAAACCUGGGUUUUCUGCCUGAACUGGGAAGCGGAAGGAUGGAACUCUGCUGGCCGUGUCUCUGCUGGGGUUACCUCCAGGCCAAGGUGGUCUGUCCAUUCCCCGCUGCCCCCAACUGCCCAAGCUGGGCCGUUCAUGCAGCUUCCUGGCCUCCCUUCCUGAGCUCAAUGUUGAGUAGCCCCUCUGCUGCAGACAAGCCCCUCGGUGGAGGUGUUGGGGUGAAUGAGGUCCUGCCCGCUUCCACGGCCCACGGGGGCAGUCGGAAGCCAACCACCUUCGCCCAUCAGCCCUCAGGUUUCUAGCUGGGAGAAGCGCCCACAGGGGCAGCUGUUCUGGGUCUGUACAGGGGAGGCAAGGCUGCCCCAGCAGAGUCCAAGGCCACAGAUGACAACAAAACGUGGCCCUCCAGGCCCACAGUACUGGUCAUAUCUGGAUUGAUCAAGGGCAAGAACCCCAGGACUCACAUGAAAAAGGAGAGCGUUUAGACAAAGCAAGGCCGGCCCUGCAGGGCCACAUAUUCUGCGAUCACAUGAUUCGAGCCGCUGACACCUGGGCACUCUGCAGUGCAGAACCUUCUGCCUUUAGCCUUGGUACUCAGUCUGGAUAAGGCCAAACAGGAUUGAGAACUCGACUCCCUGAUUCUAGCAACAGUAUUUAAAACUCCCUAGGAAGGGUAUUGCUUAGACACCACCCAAAUCUGCCUUUAAUCACAGGAAUGUGGCUCUCACCCAUCCUCUGGGCCCUAUUCAGUUUCAGUCUGCUCAAUUUGGGGGUGUGCUUGCUCUAGUACUGUACUUCCAAACUAAUUCGUCUGCAAGUAAGCCCUUUCCUUGGAGAGGAAAAAAGGCUUACUCCAAGAACUGAUGUGGGGAGUGGGCAAAAACAUGUGGAAGAAACACGGUCUCCCCUCACAAUUCCAAUGGGGAACUGUGCAGCAAGGCUGCAGAGCUGUGAGGGAGGGGGCCUGGAGCCCUGGUAAAAGGGCAUAUCUGAAAAGGUAGUUUCUGGGGGCACCUGGCCAAGAAAAGGAUGAAGUUGUUGCAGUCGUCAUUUCAAACACCAAGGCAGUAAGACCAGCAGAGGACCUGGAAGAGCCACAACCCCUUGUGGGACUUUGUGCUUUGAGUGGGCCUGGGAGAACGUGACACAGGGACAGUCUCUGACCUUCACCCGGAAGCACUGAGGGCUCAGGACGCCUUGUCCCCAGGAGGCCCCUGUGAAGUGAGGGCCACUCUGCCUGGAGGUGACGGGAGGGCUCUGCGCUGUCAACACUCCAGCCCAGUUCAAGUCUUAUAAAUGAUUCCUCAGAGAUUCUACAGCCUGAGCUCUCUGGAAGCUGUUUUGAGAAGUGUUCUCUCCCAGAAAGAGGCUUCUGCGUUCUUACCUCAGGAACCCCUUUGAACAUGGCUCUGAGAGCCAACCCCGAGAAAGCUAGUGUCAGAAUUCAGGAUACCCAUGCUCACCGCAAACACUUUUACCAGGGGCUUCACCAUCUCACAAGUGCCUACUGAGUCUUGGACUUCAGAGCAGGUUAAAAGCGUAUUAAUCUAGCAACUGUGUCAUUGAUGUAAUUCGUUCCACCAUGUGUGGUUUUAAGAAAGAACAUAUAAAUAUUCACAGUGACUCUGUCCAAUUGUGCCUCUCAUGUGUACUCAUAACCCUGGAGGAGGAGGCAGGAAUUCCAGGUGCUGCGGACAGCUUUCUGGCAAGAUGCCAUCUACUGUUAAUGGAAAAAAGACAAGCCGCAAGAAACCAAAGACUAAAUGAUGUCCUGCUUCCCCGCUAGCUAUCUCCUCUGCCCCGAGGGGAUGGGUUAAGCACAUCAAGAGGAAGCUCAGUACUAAAGAAAAAGGGAAAAUUCUCCAGGAGUCUGAGAUGAUCUGAGCGGGAUGAAAUGGCAUGAGGAAAAAUGCCACCGGCUUUGCACAGGGCAGUGACACACGGUCGGGAUUCUGACAGCACCUUUCUGAGAAGCAACUUGGGGAUUCAUUAUUGAGUCUUAUUAACUCACACAAGUUGAGGGCUAGGUAUACAAGGAUGCCUUUUGAGGAACAGACUAACAUGGAUUAUACAAAUGUUACGUAAAAUCAGUAAUUCUCAAGUAUAAUAAAAGAACAAAACAGACGGAUAAGAAUAAAUGUGCAUCCUUUUAGUAGGCUUAAGCCAUGUGUUUUGGGCAGACUUUUUUUUUUUUUGAAACGGAAUCUCGCUCUGUCACCCAGGCUGGAGUGCAUGCAAUGGCACAAUCUCAGCUCACUGAAACCUCUGCCUCCCGGGUUCAAGCGAUUCUCCUGCCUCAGCCUCUUGAGUAGCCGGGAUUACAGGCAUGCGCCACCACGUCUGGCUAAUAUAUAUAUAUAUAUUUUGUAUUUUUAGUAGAGAUGGGGUUUCACCAUGUUGGUCAGGCUGGUCUUGAAUGCCUAACCUCAGUGAUCUGCCCACCUCAGCCUCCCAAAGUGCUGGGAUUACAGGCGUGAGCCACUGUGCCCUGCCAGACUUUAAUGUUUUUAAAAGUGCGGCGCUUUUAGGGAGAUGAAGGAAAUGAACAUACUAUAAAUCUGCAGGCAUUUAAACCCCUCUGACAACAAUUAAGAUGGUGCAUUCACAAAGAAGCUUUAAAUCAAACAACCCAUAAUACUUGAUGUAGAAAAUGUUCCAGCUUCCAUAAUUCUUUAUUAAAUAUUUGACAAGUUGCAUCGCUUCUUUACAAUGACUUCAUUUUGUCACAUUAGUCUUUUGCUGUCAGGAAAACAAUCUACAGUUUCUCUUUAGAUCUCUCAAGAAAAAAGAAAAGCGAAAGGAUUGUUCUUCAAGAAAACUUCCUGUGUGUAUCAAAUUCAACCAUAUUUUAAAGCUAUUCUGACUGUGAAAAUGAGCAUUAUUCAUAAGUUGCCUUAAAAAAAAUUCAAGGUAGUUUGGUUUUUACCACUGUAUCAAAUAGUACUUGGCUUCCUAUUAGGAGGUGGGUUUAUAAUAAAAAGUUAUGAAACAUUGAGAAUUUAUUUGGAAUGCUUGAAACUCUUUUCACCUUAAAAGUCACUGUUUUUUUCAUGUUUCAUUUGAUGAUAGAUCCUGAAUUAAGAAAUGACAGCAAAUUAACAUCAUCUUCCUAGGGUUUUCUUAGGCUCCAAGGGUCGGAAUUCACAGGACACAGCUUGGAGAAAACUGUAGAAGGGACUAAACUCUCACCCCCUUUCGAAACCAGAUUACUCGAUAAAGGUAAAAAUGCUAUACAAAUAUAUACAAAUAUAUUUGGACAGCAUAUGUACGUAUAUAUGUAUAUAUAUUACAUACAGAGUAGUAAAGGAAGAACAAAGUCACGCAAAGUUAACAUGAAGGAAACCGUGACAAUCUAGGUGAAAUCAGUCUGAGUAAAAGGGGAAAACUGGCUUACACAGGAACACAUAUCUGCAGACACAGAGUUAUGGUCAUGAGGAAGGCUUCUGAUGCACUGGUACGGGGUUGAGAAUGCAGUGCACGUGAGGUUAGGCGCCAACAGCAAUGCUACUCCUUACACACAGAAAACCAACGAACAGAAAGACAUGCCUUUGAAACAUGCGUUGCUUUCAGUGGAACAUCUUUAACAAACAACAGAUGUUUAAUGAGGUUUGCUUGGAAAAUUUCAUGCCAACAGGAAGCUAACCCUUUUCUAGAAAACGUUCUCCAAGCUCCCGUCCUAAUGCCAUGGCACUUUCUCUGACAUACUGAGAACACUCUGGGGUGGGGGUGUGCGUAUGCAAAUGUAUAGACACUGUUCAUUAAGGCUUAUAUAAAUUAAAAAAGUGGUCCAAAGAAUAUCACAUUUUCCCCCAGUUUUAAAAUCUAAAGUACAAAGUGGAGUUUAUAAGGAUUUGUUUUUUAAAAACACAUCUCAGUCCUGAAAUUGGCAGUUCUGACAUGACUUAUCAGGAUGUACCCCAAUGCCUGAAUGACAGAGGUAGUGAUCUUCGGGGUCAGGGGAGGUCAGGAAGGGAGCAGGCGGGCAGUUACCCUGCACAGCGGCACCCUCUACUGGCAAGGCAGAAAAUGAUACCAGACAGCACCUCCCACCUCUCCCUCUUAAGUACAGGGGUGCAGGGGCAGGGUAAGGAGACAGAAGAAAGAGAACUAGCACAGUGUCACGUAGGGGCUGCAGAACUGAUUAACCCAGGCUCUCUUUAUACGUUUUUAAAUUUCAGAGGUGAGUACAAGACUUAGAAAUACAGGAGUCGACUGUUAAUGGGUAACUGUUAGAAUAAUUAAAAAGUUGCUGUGUAUGAACCUGGCUUUCGGGAGGACCAGUGUGGAUCUGGCAAGAUAGCAGCGGUGCACACUGUCUAUGCAACAAUGGGAGAUGUAGAAAAUGGUUCAAAUGUUUUGCACGCUGUUUCUCAGAAUCUGUCACUGUGAGGCCGGGUGCGGUGGCUCAUGCUUGUAAUCCCAGCACUUUGGAAGGCUGAGGCGGGAGGAUCACCUGAGGUCAGGAGUUCAAGACCAGCCUGGCCAGCAUGGUGAAACCAUCUCUACUAAAAAUACAAAAAUUAGCCAGGCGUGGUGGUGGGUGCCUGUAAUCCCAACUAUUCGGGGAGGCUGAGGCAGAAGAAUCGCUUGAAGCCAGGAGGCAGAGGUUGUGGUGAGCUGAGAUUGAGCCACUGCACUCCAGCCUGAGCUACAGAGCAAGACUCUGUCUCAGAAAUAAUAAUAAUAAUCUGUCCCUUUGUCCUUACAUGGGAGAAAUAAUACAUGCCAAGUUGCUCUGUAUCCCUCAUUGUCUGAAUUUAGGGAAUAUCUGAUGUCACCUUCUGAAGGGUCCUGGAAACAAAAACCAAGUGUCUUACCUUUGUUCUUGAGAUUUGUUAGAGGACUGGCUGCAGAGAAGCAUAAACAUUUCAGGCAAAAAGGAAAAGAGCACUGAAGCUGGGAAUACACCGCAACACAGACAAUGAAUGCCUCACUGCUGCCGGCUCCAGGGCCAGCAGUGGAGAGGCACAGGCUGUUGGACCUUCAUCCCGCCAGGUGCUCUUUCCACAUCCUUCCUCGGGCCAACAAGGGGCAGGAAUGGAAAUACCCGGGACCCACAGGCAGCUGUGAUAACUGAUGUUAAGAGACCCGCAACAGGCAGUGUGUGAGCUCCGGCACGUACUUCUCAGCCUCACGUAAGUGGCCCAUAAUAACUACAGCUUCAGCAGACAACUAAAGAGACUGCAUUAAGGUGAUUUCUCUGGCUAUAAAGAGAGCCUGGCCUGCAGAGCAGUGUGGCUGCUGGGAACUCUGGGAUAGGCAACACUGCCCUCUCUCCCCCAGGGCUACUCCCCGGGCAGGUCGAGGCCCAAGGAAUGACCCAGCAACUGCUCCUUACCCAGCACACUCUCUUUACUGCCACCUGCAAUUACGCUGUGAAGAUGACUGGGUGUGGCCAUCAUGAUUCAGAGAAAUCAAGAUCUAUGACCAUUUUAGGCAAAGAGAGAAACCUGGAGAAUUGCUGAGGACUACUGAACCUUGUUUUGCUUUUUUAAAAAAUACUAAAUCCUCACUUCA